rnacentral:rRNA from 1 species
AGCAGUCGCCGCGGGAAAACGAAGGGGGCUAGCGUUGUUCGGAAUUACUGGGCGUAAAGCGCACGUAGGCGGAUUGUUAAGUUAGGGGUGAAAUCCCAGGGCUCAACCCUGGAACUGCCUUUAAUACUGGCAAUCUCGAGUCCGAGAGAGGUGAGUAGAUUUCCGAGUGUAGAGGUGAAAUUCGUAGAUAUUCGGAGGAACACCAGUGGCGAAGGCGGCUCACUGGCUCGGUACUGACGCUGAGGUGCGAAAGCGUGGGGAGCAAACAGGAUUAGAUACCCCCGUAGUCCCUGUCUCUUAUAC